CAACCCAUCAAGCUUCGGCUUGGUCUUGGGGCCUGCGAUUCCGCAGCCUCUAAACCCAGUGGCGGUGCCCUCGAGCUCUGAGCGUAGUAAUUCUUCUCGCUAUAGGGUCUCGGUGGUGUCUUGCCAGUAACCCCCAAUUUUUACAA
rnacentral:misc_RNA from 1 species